UAGCUAGUUGGCAGGGUAAAGGCCUACCAAGGCGACGAUCGGUAGCUGGUCUGAGAGGAUGGCCAGCCACACUGGGACUGAGACACGGCCCAGACUCCUAUGGGAGGCAGCAGUGGGGAAUAUUGGACAAUGGGGGCAACCCUGAUCCAGCAAUGCCGCGUGUGUGAAGAAGGCCUGAGGGUUGUAAAGCACUUUCAGUGGGGAGGAGGGUUGAUAGGUUAAGAGCUAAUUAACUGGACGUUACCCACAGAAGAAGCACCGGCUAACUCCGUGCCAGCAGCCGCGGUAAUACGGAGGGUGCGAGCGUUAAUCGGAAUUACUGGGCGUAAAGGGUGCGUAGGUGGUUUGAUAAGUUAUCUGUGAAAUUCCUGGGCUUAACCUGGGACGGUCAGAUAAUACUGUUGGACUCGAGUAUGGGAGAGGGUAGUGGAAUUUCCGGUGUAGCGGUGAAAUGCGUAGAGAUCGGAAGGAACACCAGUGGCGAAGGCGGCUACCUGGCCUAAUACUGACACUGAGGCACGAAAGCGUGGGGAGCAAACAGGAUUAGAUACCCUGGUAGUCCACGCUGUAAACGAUGUCAACUAGCUGUUGGUUAUAUGAAUAUAAUUAGUGGCGC
rnacentral:rRNA from 1 species